rnacentral:rRNA from 1 species
UACGUAGGGACCAAGCGUUGUUCGGAUUUACUGGGCGUAAAGGGCGCGUAGGCGGCAAUUCAAGUCAUCUGUGAAAUCUCUGGGCUUAACCCAGAACGGCCAGGUGAUACUGCUUUGCUAGAGUGCGGAAGGGGCAAUCGGAAUUCUUGGUGUAGCGGUGAAAUGACGUAGAUAUCAAGAGGAACAGCCUGAGGUGAAGACGGGUUGCUGGGCCGACACUGACGCUGACAGCGCGAAAGCCAGGGGAGCAAACGGG